rnacentral:rRNA from 1 species
GAUGAACGCUGGCGGCGUGCCUAAUACAUGCAAGUCGAGCGAACAGAUGAGAAGCUUGCUUCUCUGAUGUUAGCGGCGGACGGGUGAGUAACACGUGGGUAACCUACCUAUAAGACUGGGAUAACUCCGGGAAACCGGGGCUAAUACCGGAUAAUAUUUUGAACCGCAUGGUUCAAUAGUGAAAGACGGUUUCGGCUGUCACUUAUAGAUGGACCCGCGCCGUAUUAGCUAGUUGGUAAGGUAACGGCUUACCAAGGCGACGAUACGUAGCCGAGCUGAGACGGUGAUCGGCCCCACUGGAACUGAGACACGGGCCAGACUCCUACGGGAGGCAGCAGUAGGGAAUCUUCCGCAAUGGGCGAAAGCCUGACGGAGCAACGCCGCGUGAGUGAUGAAGGUCUUCGGAUCGUAAAACUCUGUUGUUAGGGAAGAACAAAUUUGUUAGUAACUGAACAAGUCUUGACGGUACCUAACCAGAAAGCCACGGCUAACUACGUGCCAGCCGCCGCAGUAA